rnacentral:rRNA from 1 species
GACGAACGCUGGCGGCGCGCCUAACACAUGCAAGUCGAACGAGAGAAAGGGAGCUUUGCUUUCUCAAUCGAGUGGCGAACGGGUGAGUAACGCGUGAGGAACCUGCCUCAAAGAGGGGGACCACAGUUGGAAACGACUGCUAAUACCGCAUAAGCCCACAGGUCGGCAUCGACCAGAGGGAAAAGGAGCAAUCCGCUUUUGAGAUGGCCUCGCGUCCGAUUAGCUAGUUGGUGAGGUAACGGCCCACCAAGGCAACGAUCGGUAGCCGGACUGAGAGGUUGAACGGCCACAUUGGGACUGAGACACGGCCCAGACUCCUACGGGAGGCAGCAGUGGGGAAAUAUUGCACAAUGGGGGAAACCCUGAUGCAGCGACGCCGCGUGGAGGAAGAAGGUCUUCGGAUUGUAAACUCCUGUUGUUGAGGAAGAUAAUGACGGUACUCAACAAGGAAGUGACGGCUAACUACGUGCCAGCAGCCGCGGUAAAACGUAGGUCACAAGCGUUGUCCGGAAUUACUGGGUGUAAAGGGAGCGCAGGCGGGAAGACAAGUUGGAAGUGAAAUCUAUGGGCUCAACCCAUAAACUGCUUUCAAAACUGUUUUUUCUUGAGUAGUGCAGAGGUAGGCGGAAUUCCCGGUGUAGCGGUGGAAUGCGUAGAUAUCGGGAGGAACACCAGUGGCGAAGGCGGCCUACUGGGCACCAACUGACGCUGAGGCUCGAAAGUGUGGGUAGCAAACAGGAUUAGAUACCCUGGUAGUCCACACCGUAAACGAUGAUUACUAGGUGUUGGAGGAUUGACCCCUUCAGUGCCGCAGUUAACACAAUAAGUAAUCCACCUGGGGAGUACGACCGCAAGGUUGAAACUCAAAGGAAUUGACGGGGGCCCGCACAAGCAGUGGAGUAUGUGGUUUAAUUCGACGCAACGCGAAGAACCUUACCAAGUCUUGACAUCCUGCGACGCACAUAGAAAUAUGUGUUUCCUUCGGGACGCAAAGACAGGUGGUGCAUGGUUGUCGUCAGCUCGUGUCGUGAGAUGUUGGGUUAAGUCCCGCAACGAGCGCAACCCUUACUGUCAGUUACUACGCAAGAGGACUCUGGCAGGACUGCCGUUGACAAAACGGAGGAAGGUGGGGAUGACGUCAAAUCAUCAUGCCCUUUAUGACUUGGGCUACACACGUACUACAAUGGCGUUAAACAAAGAGAAGCAAGACCGCGAGGUGGAGCAAAACUCAGAAACAACGUCCCAGUUCGGACUGCAGGCUGCAACUCGCCUGCACGAAGUCGGAAUUGCUAGUAAUCGUGGAUCAGCAUGCCACGGUGAAUACGUUCCCGGGCCU